rnacentral:rRNA from 1 species
GACGAACGCUGGCGGCGUGCUUAACACAUGCAAGUCGAACGGAAAGGCCCUGCUUUUGUGGGGUGCUCGAGUGGCGAACGGGUGAGUAACACGUGAGUAACCUGCCCUUGACUUUGGGAUAACUUCAGGAAACUGGGGCUAAUACCGGAUAGGAGCUCCUGCUGCAUGGUGGGGGUUGGAAAGUUUCGGCGGUUGGGGAUGGACUCGCGGCUUAUCAGCUUGUUGGUGGGGUAGUGGCUUACCAAGGCUUUGACGGGUAGCCGGCCUGGGAGGGUGACCGGCCACAUUGGGACUGAGAUACGGCCCAGACUCCUACGGGAGGCAGCAGUGGGGAAUAUUGCACAAUGGGCGGAAGCCUGAUGCAGCAACGCCGCGUGCGGGAUAACGGCCUUCGGGUUGUAAACCGCUUUCGCCUGUGACGAAGCGUGAGUGACGGUAAUGGGUAAAGAAGCACCGGCUAACUACGUG